ACCGCCGUCUGGCUGGUGGACAAUACAACGAUCAGCUUCAAGCAGAUCGCGGAUUUCGUCGAGAUGCACGAACUUGAGGUUCAGGGCAUUGCCGACGGUG
rnacentral:tRNA from 1 species